CACAAAGCUGUACCAUAUCAAAAUUGAGUAUCAUGUUUUGGGAUGUAGCAGUUAUUCUCUCUGUAAAAUCUUGAAAGAGAUCAUGGCCGCUUGGUGCUCCAGCGGCUUAUCCAUUCAAUUUCCACAUCCCCUUCCUGGACUUUCGCUCUCUUCAAAACCUCCAUCUCCAAAUGAGGUAAGUAAGAAGCUUUUUUUCCAUUCAAAUCAUGACCCCAAUUUAUUGAAUUUGUCAUCUGGUUUAGCUGGAAAAGCUUAUGCUGGAGUUCGAUGUGAAACUGUGCACCCACUUGUUGGUUCUUCAUCUAAGUUUUGCAGUAAACAAUUUUCAACUAGAAUUGAUGGGAAUUAUGGAUACCCAGUAUUGUACUCUGCUUCUUCUGUUGGAAAACAUUGUCAAUUUAUGUUAUUUCCUUCAAAUUCACCAAAAGAGGCACUUGGGUUAAGCACUAAACUGCUUUCUGCUACAUUUAGAGGUAAAGUUAUCAGAGUUUGUGCAACUUCUACUGAAACUUUACCCCUAUUCAUCAAUAAGGAACCCAAAUACAUCAAUGUAUUGGUGGUGGGUUCAACUGGGUACAUUGGGAAGUUUGUAGUGAGAGCAUUGGUGCAGAGGGGUUACAAUGUGAUUGCAAUUGCUAGAGAAAACAGUGGGAUUAGGGGGAAAACCAGUAAGGAGAAAACCCUGGAGGAACUGAAGGGAGCAAAAGUAUGCUUCUCUGAUGUGACCAAUUUACCUGAACUGGAAAAAUCUAUAGAAAACUUAGGCAUUUCGAUAGAUGCGGCAGUUUCAUGCUUGGCCAGUCGAAAUGGGGGGGUCAAGGAUUCAUGGAAGAUCGAUUAUGAGGCAACUAAGAACAGUCUCUUGGCCUCUAAGAGAUUUGGGGCCUCUCAUUUUGUCUUGUUAUCUGCAAUUUGUGUUCAAAAACCCUUCUUGGAAUUUCAGCGUGCAAAGCUCAAAUUCGAAGCUAAAUUGCAAAAGGAAGCAGAGGGGGGUGGGCUCACAUACAGUAUAGUUAGGCCCACGGCUUUCUUCAAGAGCUUGGGGGGUCAGGUUGAGAUUGUCAAGGAUGGGAAGCCUUAUGUAAUGUUUGGUGAUGGGAAGUUAUGUGCUUGUAAACCAAUUAGUGAAGAGGAUUUGGCUUCUUUCAUUGUGGAUUGUAUCUCUUCGAAGGAUAAGAUAAACAAGGUUCUCCCCAUUGGAGGACCUGGUAAAGCCUUGACACCAUUGGAGCAAGGGGAAAUGUUGUUUCGCAUUUUGGGUCAAGAACCCAAGUUCUUGAAGGUUCCUAUAGGGUUGAUGGACUUUGUGAUUAGUGUUUUGGAGUUUUUGGUGAGGAUUUUCCCAUCUUUAGAGGAUGCAGCUGAGUUUGGGAGAAUUGGAAGGUAUUAUGCAGCAGAGAGCAUGUUAGUUUGGGAUCCAAAGACUGGGAAGUAUGAUGAGGAUUCGACGCCAAGUUAUGGGAAGGACACAUUGGAGGAGUUCUUUGAGAAAGUGAUCAGAGAAGGAAUGGUUGGGCAAGAGUUGGGAGAGCAAACCAUAUUCUAGGGAGAGAAUUUGCCUAUCAAGUCAUGGAGUGACUGAUGUUUUGGCCUUGAUGGGCUGAAUUCUUGACACCCCAUGACAUAUUACUAAAUGGAAUCUUGACCAAGCACGUUAAGUUGGGCUUUGAGUUAACUAGAGUUUUUAGACUUGACAUGAUGAUUAAAGAGGCUACUACUCUCACAGUUGCGAGGAUGAAUCAAUGAUGGUUUGUUUUCUUUUUAUUUACCCCGCACUUUUUGUUUGUUGUCUUUUUCCAUACACAUUUUUUUAGUUUGGUAAAAAAAUCAAUCUUUUCUUUUCAAAAUGGAGCUAAAGAGGUAUGGAAUCUGUAUAAACAGCUGAGAAGUGAAAAACAUAAGAUUGAAGAAGAAGCUUCAACUGAGUGAUCUGUGUCUCGAUAGUUUCUUCUACGGCUUUCUUCACUAGCGUGCACAUUUUCCAGAAGUAGUAAUGUAUAUCAUCAAAAUGUUCAAUCAUCAUUAUCAUCUGAGCCUUAUCCGAACUAUUUGGGAUGUGAUACACCAAUCUUGUUCCACCAUUCUGCUCUAUCAAGGGGAUUACCCUCAAUCAGACCGUAGGCAACCAUAUCUCUUCUCGCUACUUCUAUCGAUGUCCUUUUGGGCCUUCCCUUUUCUCUUUUAGAGACUUCCAUUUGAAAUACCAUUAAGAUGUCCAACAUGAAAGUAAAUUUAGGGUUCAUAUAUUUGAAUCACAAUAAUUGUCUAGAUGAGACAGGGAUUAUGCAUGAUGUUAGCUAUUUUAAUUGCAUGUAUCAUGUGAUCCAUGCAACUUGGAUAGCAUUUCCCUUGUCAUAUCAGAAAAUUCGGACAACAAUUGGAAGGCCCUAAUGUUCCAGAGAGUUUGCUGGUAGGUGUGAGAAACUUGUGCUCUUCUUAGCAGUUUUUGUCAGCCUAUCUUUUUAGGUCAUGUUUUAGGCAAGUUAGAUAAACUUCAAACAACAGUCUUCUGUUCAAGGAGUAUACUCAUAUUCAGCGUAUACUUGAAUCCCCAAAUUGUUUUUCAUCUACACUAAAGUAGACAACCUAUGUUAAUUGAGCUAAAAA